rnacentral:rRNA from 1 species
CCUACGGGAGGCAGCAGUGGGGAAUAUUGGACAAUGGGCGAAAGCCUGAUCCAGCAAUGCCGCGUGAGUGAUGAAGGCCUUCGGGUCGUAAAGCUCUUUUACCAGGGAUGAUAAUGACAGUACCUGGAGAAUAAGCUCCGGCUAACUCCGUGCCAGCAGCCGCGGUAAUACGGAGGGAGCUAGCGUUGUUCGGAAUUACUGGGCGUAAAGAGUACGUAGGCGGUUAUUCAAGUCAGAGGUGAAAGCCCGGGGCUCAACCCCGGAACUGCCUUUGAAACUAGAUAACUAGAGUCUUGGAGAGGUUAGUGGAAUUCCGAGUGUAGAGGUGAAAUUCGUAGAUAUUCGGAAGAACACCAGUGGCGAAGGCGACUAACUGGACAAGUACUGACGCUGAGGUACGAAAGCGUGGGGAGCAAACAGGAUUAGAUACCCCGGUAGUCCACGCCGUAAACGAUGAUAACUAGUUGUUCGGUCACUUGGUGACUGAGUGACGCAGCUAACGCAUUAAGUUAUCCGCCUGGGGAUACGGUCGCAAGAUUAAAACGUANAGUAGUAGUACGGACGUGAGACGUAGCGAACGAGACACCGAGGGAGGUUAAG